rnacentral:misc_RNA from 1 species
AGCAGCCGCGGUAAUUCCAGCUCCAAUAGCGUAUAUUAAAGUUGUUGCAGUUAAAAAGCUCGUAGUUGAAUUUCGGGAUCAAAGAAUCGGUAACGCCUUGGUAUGUACUGGUUUUAUUGGUUCUCACCUUCUAAAGAACCAUGAUGUCAUUCAUUUGAUGUUAUGGGGAAUUAGGAAUGUUACCUUGAAAAAUUAGAGUGUUUAAAGCAAGCUUACGCUUGAAUACAUUAGCAUGGAAUAAUGAAAUAGGACAUCAGAUUCUAUUUUGUUGGUUUCUAGGAUCGAUGUAAUGAUUAAUAGGGAUAGUUGGGGGCAUUAGUAUUCAAUUGUCAGAGGUGAAAUUCUUGGAUUUAUUGAAGACUAACUACUGCGAAAGCAUUUGCCAAGGAUGUUUUCAUUAAUCAAGAACGAAAGUUAGGGGAUCGAAGACGAUCAGAUACCGUCGUAGUCUUAACCAUAAACUAUGCCGACUAGGGAUCGGAUGAUGUUAAUUUUUAAUGACUCAUUCGGUA